rnacentral:misc_RNA from 1 species
GUAUUAACUUACAUUUUCAAUUACGUGUUCGAAAACUGUCGGGUCACCUGAGUCUUCAUUCGCGAUCUUUUCUUCUCUUAUCGUCCCUUGAUCGAUUUUAUUAAUCGAAUCCUCAGGUAGCGUUACAGGCAUCGCGUGUGUCCCAACAAUCUAACACUACGAUCAAGAGCAAAACAGGCGACAUCGUUUCGAAAAUCGAUUUCCACGAUAAUCCCAACUUCCGUCGAGGGAAAACACGUUCCAAUGGUUCACAGGAGUUUCCACGAUGCGCAAUAAUCGAAAUGCAACUGCGUGAAGCGAUGCCGCAACUGGGAGCCUGAAUAUAUAACGCUUCCCGUACAUAGGAUUCCUCUUAUCGAAUGGAGGUACCC